rnacentral:tRNA from 1 species
GGGGACGUAGCUCAAUUGGGAGAGCACCAGCUUUGCAAGCUGGGGGUUAGGGGUUCGAUCCCCCUCGUCUCCA